AUGGAGAACGGCAGCAGCAAAGGCGACGUCCCGGAGGACGCCAACGCUCACUUGGUUGCUAUUGCUGAGCGGAUGGCUACUGUGAAACACAAGAUACUGGUUUUGUCAGGAAAGGGAGGUGUUGGAAAGAGCACAUUUUCAGCCCAGCUCUCAUUUGCCCUAGCUGAAAUGGACCAUCAGGUUGGCCUUCUCGACAUAGACAUAUGUGGCCCUAGCAUCCCGAAAAUGUUAGGCGUUGAAGGCCAGGAUAUUCAUCAGAGCAACCUUGGGUGGUCACCGAUCUACGUUGAGUCCAACCUUGGUGUCAUGUCGAUUGGUUUUAUGCUGCCUAACCCAGAUGAUGCGGUCAUAUGGAGGGGUCCUCGCAAGAACAGAUUGAUCAAACAGUUCCUCAAGGAUGUUGACUGGGGUGAGAUUGACUACCUUGUAGUGGAUGCACCCCCUGGAACAUCAGACGAGCACAUCUCAAUCGUCCAGUACCUACAAGCCACCGAAGUUGAUGGCGCGAUAAUCGUGACGACCCCGCAGCAAGUCUCUCUAAUUGACGUGAGGAAGGAAAUCAAUUUCUGCAAGAAGGUGGGUGUGCCGGUGCUGGGCGUUGUGGAGAACAUGAGUGGCCUGAGGCAGGCGUUCACAGACCUCAAGUUCGUAAAGCCAGGUCCCGCAGGGGAGACGGAUGCCACGGAGUGGGCGAUGAACUACAUCAAGGAGAAGGCUCCGGAGCUUUUGUCGGUCGUGGCCUGCAGCGAGGUGUUUGACAGCAGCAAGGGUGGCGCAGAGAAGAUGUGCCAUGAGAUGGGGGUCCCUUUCCUCGGCAAGGUGCCGAUGGACCCGCAGCUGUGCAAGGCAGCUGAGGAAGGGAGGUCGUGCUUCGCCGAUCAGAGGUGCAGCGCCAGUGCGCCGGCUCUGAAAAGCAUCAUCGACAAGCUGAUCAAAACCAAGUAA
rnacentral:rRNA from 1 species